rnacentral:rRNA from 1 species
UACGGAGGAUGCAAGCGUUAUCCGGAAUGAUUGGGCGUAAAGCGUCCGCAGGUGGCUGUGUAAGUCUGCUGUUAAAGAGUGAGGCUCAACCUCAUAAAAGCAGUGGAAACUACAUGGCUAGAGUGCGUUCGGGGCAGAGGGAAUUCCUGGUGUAGCGGUGAAAUGCGUAGAUAUCAGGAAGAACACCGGUGGCGAAAGCGCUCUGCUAGGCCGCAACUGACACUGAGGGACGAAAGCUAGGGGAGCGAAUGGG